AAUCCUUACCUGUGCUAACCCUGAGAAGCGAAGCCAGAGGGAAGUCUCUGAGCUGUGAGUUACCCUGAUUCUACACUGGAAGUUAGGGGUAGAAGGACACAGGAGCCCAGCACUUAUAGCCAGUGGCCCUGAGGGUCUCUUCCAGCUUCACCUCAUGACACCCCGUGCUGCUGCGUGACUGCUGCCGUUGCCAAGGCCACCACUGCUACGAGCCUGAAUGGCUAACGCUGAGAUUAGCAGGGCCUCCCUUCCACCAGCCUGUCCUCCUGGCUCUCCUCCCUUUUGCCUCUUCUGGAUCUCAGGCUAGAGUGUGGCAUGAUCUCGGCUCACUGCAACCUCUGCCUCCCAGGUUCAAGCAAAUUCUCCCGCCUCAGCCUCCCGAGUAGCUGGGACUACAGAUCUCCUCUGAUGCACCAGCCUGGGAUGUACUGUGAAAAUCAGCUACCUGGGCUUCCCACCUGUGGAUGCUCACUGACCUGGGGCCAUGCCAGGUGAUUUUAGGACUUCCUCAGAGAAAAUCCAGGCAAGACACCAGCAACAGAACUAGCCUGAUGAUUAUUAAAUUAGCUCUAUGUGGAGAAGCCAUAUUUGAAUAACUUAUUAGUGGAAGCCCUUUGUAAACCAUGCUCCAUUAUAUAAAUGGCAGAUGUCAUUAUUUA